rnacentral:lncRNA from 1 species
UACAGGAGGUUCAUGUCUAUCCUGUUACCGCUACUUAAAUCAGUCGUUAAAUUAUUCUCCCUAUGAAUAUUGAAUCAGUCAGUGUUGAUUUCAAAAAUGCAAAGUAAUCUUUACAUUUAAAACGCCUCGUUUCUUGAACGACAGUGUAGAGAAAAGAAAUUUCAAGACAUUUAGUGAAAAAAAUAGAGCGUACUUUUUUUCAUGUCUAUGCUGUUACCGACCAUUUUGAUUAAUUACACUAACGGUAUGGUUGUAAAAAGUGCAAUAACGUGUUGGAAACCAAAUUCACAAUAGAAAACCAUAAUCACUUCACCAAAGGGAGUAGUUAUUUCACAACACGCA